rnacentral:rRNA from 1 species
CCUACGGGAGGCAGCAGUGGGGAAUAUUGCACAAUGGGGGAAACCCUGAUGCAGCGACGCCGCGUGAGGGAAGAAGGAAUUCGUAAUGUAAAGCUCUAUCAGCAGGGAAGAAAAGGACGGUACCUGAGCACUAAUCACCGGCUAACUACGUGCCAGCAGCCGCCGUCCUACGUCGGGGGCGAGCGUUAUCCGGAUUUACUGGGUGGAAAGGGAGCGGAGGCGGCAGGGCAAGUUUGGAGUGAAAGGCGGGGGGUCAACACCCGGACUGCUCUGGAAACUGGACGGCUGGAGUGCAGGAGAGGGAAGUGGAAUUCCUGGUGUAGCGGUGAAAUGCGUAGAUAUUAGGAGGAACACCAGUGGCGAAGGCGGCUUACUGGACUGUAACUGACGUUGAGGCUCGAAAGCGUGGGGAGCAAACAGGAUUAGAUACCCUAGUAGUC